UGGUCCAUCCCAAUCCCUCCUGGUCACUUAGUGAUCUGCCAGGCUUUGUUUGCAGACCAGAGCCCUAGAAGCCCCAUCAAAAUCGAACAAGGCCUUUGUAGGCCCAUGCCAGAGGCAUUUCUGAACACAC
rnacentral:snoRNA from 1 species